UACGUAGGGAGCAAGCGUUGUCCGGAAUCAUUGGGCGUAAAGCGCGCGUAGGUGGCCCCGUAAGUCCGCUGUGAAAGUCAAAGGCUCAACCUUUGAAAGCCGGUGGAUACUGUGGGGCUAGAGUACGGAAGAGGCGAGUGGAAUUCCUGGUGUAGCGGUGGAAUGCGCAGAUAUCAGGAGGAACACCUGUGGUGUAGACGGCUUCCUGGACCAUCACUGACGCUGAGGCGCGAAAGCUAGGGGAGCAAACAGG
rnacentral:rRNA from 1 species